rnacentral:rRNA from 1 species
GACGGAGGAUGCAAGUGUUAUCCGGAAUCACUGGGCGUAAAGCGUCUGUAGGUGGUUUAAUAAGUCAACUGUUAAAUCUUGAGGCUCAACCUCAAAAUCGCAGUCGAAACUAUUAGGCUAGAGUAUAGUAGGGGUAAAGGGAAUUUCCAGUGGAGUGGUGAAAUGCGUAGAGAUUGGAAAGAACACCGAUGGCGAAGGCACUUUACUGGGCUAUUACUAACACUCAGAGACGAAAGCUAGGGUAGCAAAUGGG